GUGGAGGUCAGAGGUCAACCUCUGUGGGGGGUUAAGUGGGUGGGGUCGGUCAGUUCUCUCCCUCCACCCCGGAGGUUCCAGGCAUCAAACUCAGGUCACCAGGCUUGUCCGCAAGCAGUUUUAUCUGCUGAGCUACGUCCGGCUCUGAAACAUUAGAAGAGUUUAAUCGGGAAAGGGGGCCUUGCAGGCAUAAUUGUUAAAGAUCUUGGGAUAAAGAUCAUUGAUUAGUGUGGCUUCUUAAUCCAAUGACCCCUGUCCUUGUCAGAGAUCUGAAGGACGAGAGAGGUACAAGAGGAGAAGGUUAGACCCCUGCAGCCACCAGGGAGGACAGAACCCACUGGAGUAAGGCAGAGAGGCGUUCCGGGAGCCUUUGGGAGGAUUGAAUCCGUAGACGAAUCAAUGAUGCUCUUCUUAUCUCGAGCUCCUUGCGGGUGCUGGCUAUGUCUGCUUGCUGACACCUUCAUUGCAGUCUUCCACCCUCCAACACAGUAGCAAGAUACCGUGUGGCGUUGCAAGGUGUCCUACCGGCAGUGAGGCAGUGAUUCGUUUGCAAGCAGCCCAGGAGGCUAAUUCACCCUUGACCUACCCACGCGGGAAUGUAACAACCUGCAGCUGAGCCACGGGAGUUCUGAGGAGAGGGAAGGUUCUUUAACAUUUGCCCUUGGGGCUGUUUGGGUUAGACACCAUUAAGGCCUUCUGCUCGGAGCUGGGAGAGCUGAGAUAAGUAGUUCUAUCUCUCUGAGCCUUGGCUCCUCCAUGUGCAAGAGCAGAGACCGCCCACCACCUCCCAUGCCCCGCCUACCUCCCCCACCUCCACCCCCAUCCCACAAGGGAGAUAGCGGGAUGCUCCGAGACCAUCUGCCAUCCCAGGAAUGCAGAGUUAAGCUUAAGAUUCAGUCCAGUCCCUUCCUGCCUUCCUAUCACAGCAAGCUGCUGCGUGUGGUUGGGGCCGUUUAUGGGGAUCUGAGAAGCUAAAUGGCCAGCGGUCUGUUGAACUGUGGCUGUGUCUUUUUUAGCACUGGGCUUUUUUGGAUAAAGCAAAGGCCCAGAGGGUGACUAGAUGGCUCCGUGGAUAAAGCACUUGCUCCACAAGCAAAAGGACCCGAGUUCAAUUCCCAGCAUCCAUGAAGAGAAAGUUGGGCGUUGCUGAAAUCCCAGCACUGAGAAGGCGCCUACAGGAACGACCACCUGCUCUGCAAAUCUGCCUCGUUGUUCCUCGAGAGGCUGUUGGCGACAGAAAGCCUGAAGAAUCAGCCUGGGGCUCCCAAGCGUGGUGCUUGGCCUGGAUGAAAGUGCCUAGAAGUGCUGACUCUCAAGCCAGCAGUAAGGACCUUGUGGUCGUUCCUUCUUCCUGUGUGUCUUUGCUCAGAACACUGCCUCGAUGACCUUCCUACUAACCACCGUCCCCUCUCCCCCAGAAAGGGCACAUCCCUUCCACUCAGUUAAAAGGAUUUUUUUCCCCCAAAGAGCCCAGGUCAUAUUUCAAACCGCCUCGCCAAACUGCUCUGUCCCAGGAGCCAGUGAAAGGGGGGCCUUGAACACCGUAUUUAUUUUGACUGGUUAAACAGGCUACGGCUGUAAAGGAAACAGCUCUCAGAAACGAGACCGCCUGGCCGACUCGGGGGCUCACUCUUUCUACCCACACACACAUACUGUUUAAAGCAUUCCAGAAACCCUGCCAACUUUCCUGGCACAGCUCGUAUUUCUUUACAUGCACGUUGCAUUCCGUCUGGUUAAUGUGCACUGUGCGCCAUUCUUGGAUCCUGGCGAGGCCUAGCAAGGUGGCAUGGUGUGCUCAGGCUUGCUCUAUGCAAAGCAGGGUAUCAGGAGGGGCGGAGCUUCGGAGGGACGGAGGCGUGGCGGGGGGCGGGGCUCUACCUCCCUUAGACCCAGGGGUGCCUGGAGUCCCAAAGUACCCAACUCUCUCCAGAUGUGACUGAAGCACUUCCUUUGUUUUUCUCUUUCGUUGGUGUUGGGGAUCAAAACCAGGACUCUGCACACUAUAGGCUACACUGCACUAUACACCGAGCCCCGCACCCAGCCCUUCGGCUUCAGCAAAAUCACAAUUAGUGGAAUGGAACCCAUGAGAUUGGCGAUGUUAGAAAUUCAGAGGAGAAAAAUGGCUCUUGGCACCAUUGGCAAACACAUGGAGGUCUAUGCCUGGACGACGAGGGGAACGCACGUCUCUCGGAGUUCCCGCCUGCGGUGCGAAUAGAAUGUUCCCGUUCAGAAGUGGAACUACUCACCUGGAUCCGACGCGGGUGACAUGGCACCCGGAGGCUUUAAAAAAAAAAUCUCGGUCCCUAAUGAGAAACAGCCGCGUGCGGAAUAAAAUUAGUGUGCGUUGUGUAAUCCCAGCUGGCCAGUUGCAAGAACGGGGAGGAGGCAGGCGCUGAGGGAACAGGCCCUGGAGCCCAUCCUGACCCUCUGGGUUGGAAUUUCUGAGUCUCUUCUUUGCCUUGAGUCAAAAUAGGAAACCGAACCCUGACCGCGUGCUUCUUUUUAUAGAAUCGAACUUUCUUGCCAGCUUCCUUCGGAGCGCAAGAUCGUCCCUCUUGGUCUCUAAACAAUACGCCAAUCAUCAGAUGUGAGUGAGGAGAGGGGAGGAGGGAGUUAGUGUUCUGGGAGCACCAGACAUAACCCAGGCCCAGGGCCCAAGACAAACACCGAGCCCCGAGUUUGGCUUCCGUACCAGACCUGGUAAAUACAACAUGUUUUUACAGGUUGGGAAA
rnacentral:sRNA from 1 species